UACAGAGGUGGCAAGCGUUGUUCGGAAUUACUGGGCGUAAAGGGCGCGUAGGCGGCCUUCUAAGUCAGACGUGAAAUCCCCAGGCUUAACUUGGGAACUGCGUCUGAUACUGGAAGGCUUGAGUGCGGGAGAGGGAUGUGGAAUUCCAGGUGUAGCGGUGAAAUGCGUAGAUAUCUGGAGGAACACCGGUGGCGAAGGCGGCAUCCUGGACCGACACUGACGCUGAGGCGCGAAAGCUAGGGGAGCAAACGGGG
rnacentral:rRNA from 1 species